CCUACGGGUGGCAGCAGUGAGGAAUAUUGGUCAAUGGGCGCAAGCCUGAACCAGCCAAGCAGCGUGCAGGAAGACGGCUCUAUGAGUUGUAAACUUCUUUUAUACGAGGAUAAACGCAUAUACGCGUGGCUUUCUGAAUGUAUCGUACGACUAAGGAUCGGCUAACUCCGUGCCAGCAGCCGCGGUAAUACGGAGGAUUCAGGCGUUAUCCGGAUUUAUUGGUUUUAAGGGGUGCGUAGGUGGUCGUAUAAGUCAGAGGUGAAAUUCUGAGGCUCAACUUCGGAAUUGCCGCUGAUACUGGACGGCUAGAGAGUAUUUGAGGUAGGCGGAAUGUAUGGUGUAGCGGUGAAAUGCUUAGAGAUCACACAGAACACCGAUUGCGAAGGCAGCUUACCAAGCCAUUUCUGACGCUGAGGCACGAAAGCGUGGGGAGCAAACAGGAUUAGAUACCCGAGUAGUC
rnacentral:rRNA from 1 species